rnacentral:rRNA from 1 species
AUGGCGGCGGAGCGCGACCUGCUGCUACAGUGGGGAAACCGGAAGCGCCUGCGCUGUGUCAAGGUGCAGCGCCACGAUGUUGAGGCCGUAGCCACGACGGCCGCCGAGGAAGUUGCGACCGGAAGCGUCGGGCCGCGACAGCGGCGGCUGCAGCCACGGCGGCCGUGCAGCACCACCCCACCACCGCGGCCUCAGUGGGAAGAUUGGGAAUCAAGUGACUCGUCUGAUACCCCCUUGCAUUCUACUAGUACUACUAUGGAUGCUCAUCGGGCACAACGGUGGCUGAAGAAAAAUGAAGACAGCGAGCCGGCCGCCGCGAUCGUCGCCGGGCGGGAGUUGCUCCAUCAGGAUCAGCUGACACCUGAUGAACGCAGCUGCAUAUGCCGGUUGGAUCUGGCACGCUACUUACGCCGAACUGACCAGAUUCCGAACAUUGUUUUUGGCCUCGCCUGCUGGUGCACAUGGGAUCCGGUGGGCGGGCGGGCAGCCAGAUUUUUGCUAGUUGUGAAGGGGGUAUCUUUGGAGAUGAUGAUCAGCAUCAUGUCCCCUCCAUUGCCAGCCGAGGGUGCGUUGUUAGCUGACACGGUGAAGUUGUUGACGAGAUCAAACCAGGCGAAGAUCCAGUUGGUCGAGGACUCUGCAACUACCGUCACCAAGGAGAUGUUUGCUAAUGAGGAAGUUGGUUCCUUUUGCAAGCUAGAGAUUGAAUCCUCUAGUCUUGUUGCUAGCAAGCAUGCCCCUCUACUAGCGAUUAUUCAAAUUGUUUUGUUUAUUUUGAUGAGACAAAGAGCUGCUAGCUACGAAAGGCAAAUAGGCUGGCUGGUAGUCCACAACAAGCAAGGGGCAUGGGACCUUGAAGGAGCUGCUCAUGUCCAUGAAAAUGGACGUUUCCUGAAAGAUGGUAUAAUACUGCAUCUUAGCAAGCAGGAGGCGGUACAUACUACAUAUCAGCAUAUGGACUACCUCGUCCAUCCCAAUAACUUUUGGGGCCCCAAAAUUUUUAACUUCCAAGGUGGGAUUAACUGCCAUUGCACAUCCUGCACCUGCCUGCCGUAUGGCCCUAGGCAGCAGCAGGUCCGUAUCUCUCCAUUCUUGUUAACAAUAGUCUGCCCGAUGGAUUCUCUCCUCUGUUUACUUCCUAGCGCCAUCUCCUCCUCUAUUUACCCCCACUACCUAGGGAUGCCGCUGAUGCUUACUCAAGACACAGACGCUGAUUUCAAGAGAAGACUUGCCAUGCCAUCGAGCUAUCUUCAGUGA